UGGUNGCUGACGACUGCUACCAUGCAGUCGAACGGUGACACGGAGCUUGCUCUGUGGGAUCAGUGGCGAACGGGUGAGUAACACGUGAGCAACCUGCCCCUGACUCUGGGAUAAGCGCUGGAAACGGCGUCUAAUACUGGAUACGAGUAGCGGCCGCAUGGUCAGUUACUGGAAAGAUUUUUUGGUUGGGGAUGGGCUCGCGGCCUAUCAGCUUGUUGGUGAGGUAAUGGCUCACCAAGGCGUCGACGGGUAGCCGGCCUGAGAGGGUGACCGGCCACACUGGGACUGAGACACGGCCCAGACUCCUACGGGAGGCAGCAGUGGGGAAUAUUGCACAAUGGGCGAAAGCCUGAUGCAGCAACGCCGCGUGAGGGAUGACGGCCUUCGGGUUGUAAACCUCUUUUAGCAGGGAAGAAGCGAAAGUGACGGUACCUGCAGAAAAAGCGCCGGCUAACUACGUGCCAGCAGCCGCGGUAAUACGUAGGGCGCAAGCGUUAUCCGGAAUUAUUGGGCGUAAAGAGCUCGUAGGCGGUUUGUCGCGUCUGCUGUGAAAUCCCGAGGCUCAACCUCGGGCCUGCAGUGGGUACGGGCAGACUAGAGUGCGGUAGGGGAGAUUGGAAUUCCUGGUGUAGCGGUGGAAUGCGCAGAUAUCAGGAGGAACACCGAUGGCGAAGGCAGAUCUCUGGGCCGUAACUGACGCUGAGGAGCGAAAGGGUGGGGAGCAAACAGGCUUAGAUACCCUGGUAGUCCACCCCGUAAACGUUGGGAACUAGUUGUGGGGUCCAUUCCACGGAUUCCGUGACGCAGCUAACGCAUUAAGUUCCCCGCCUGGGGGAGUACGGCCGCAAGGCUAAAACUCAAAGGAAUUGACGGGGACCCGCACAAGCGGCGGAGCAUGCGGAUUAAUUCGAUGCAACGCGAAGAACCUUACCAAGGCUUGACAUAUACGAGAACGGGCCAGAAAUGGUCAACUCUUUGGGACACUCGUAAACAGGUGUUGCAUGGGUUGUCGUCAGCUCGUGUCGUGAGAUGUUGGGUAAGUUCCCGCAACGACGCAACCCUCCGUUCUAUGUUGCCAACACGUAAUGGUGGGGACCUCAUGGGAUACCUGCCGGGUCCAACUCG
rnacentral:rRNA from 1 species